AGGGAUGUGGCGCAGCUUGGUAGCGCGUUUGUUUUGGAUACAAAAUGUCACAGGUUCAAAUCCUAUCAUCCCUA
rfam:Nicotiana sylvestris Nsyl_contig96480, whole genome shotgun sequence.